UUCGAACCGUUACCAGGAAAGUGCUUUGCACUUUUGCUUGACGAGUGGCGGACGGGUGAGUAAUGCUUGGGAACUUGCCUUUAGGUGGGGGAUAACAGUUGGAAACGACUGCUAAUACCGCAUAAUGUCUACGGACCAAAGGGGGCUUCGGCUCUCGCCUUGAGAGAGGCCCAAGUGAGAUUAGCUAGUUGGUGGGGUAAAGGCCUACCAAGGCAACGAUCUCUAGCUGUUCUGAGAGGAAGAUCAGCCACACUGGGACUGAGACACGGCCCAGACUCCUACGGGAGGCAGCAGUGGGGAAUAUUGCACAAUGGGGGAAACCCUGAUGCAGCCAUGCCGCGUGUGUGAAGAAGGCCUUCGGGUUGUAAAGCACUUUCAGUUGUGAGGAAAGGUUGGUAGUUAAUACCUGCCAGCUGUGACGUUAACAACAGAAGAAGCACCGGCUAACUCCGUGCCAGCAGCCGCGGUAAUACGGAGGGUGCGAGCGUUAAUCGGAAUUACUGGGCGUAAAGCGCACGCAGGCGGCUUGUUAAGCUAGAGGUGAAAGCCCCGCGCUCAACGUGGGAACUGCCUUUAGAACUGGCAGGCUAGAGUCUUGGAGAGGGGAGUGGAAUUCCAGGUGUAGCGGUGAAAUGCGUAGAUAUCUGGAGGAACAUUCAGUGGGCGAAAGGCGGCUCCUUGGCCAAAGACUGGACGCUCAU
rnacentral:rRNA from 1 species